UAACGCGUGAGGAACCUGCCUCAAAGAGGGGGACAACAGUUGGAAACGACUGCUAAUACCGCAUAAGCCCACAGCUCGGCAUCGAGCAGAGGGAAAAGGAGUGAUCCGCUUUGAGAUGGCCUCGCGUCCGAUUAGCUAGUUGGUGAGGUAAUGGCCCACCAAGGCAACGAUCGGUAGCCGGACUGAGAGGUUGAACGGCCACAUUGGGACUGAGACACGGCCCAG
rnacentral:rRNA from 1 species